GGACAAAGUGUUCUGUUUCUGUAGCACAAGGGUGUGGCUUUUGUAGCUAGUAAAAUAAUCUGAACACAAAGGCCUCCAGAUCCUGCAGAGCACUUUGCAGUGAGGGAGUCAGAGGCAAGCAGUGAGAAAGGAAGCUGACUCGUAGAUUUCAGAACCCUCUAAAGGGACACCCGCCCCGCUUAGUUCCGUCGGAGUGUAACAGGAAAGGGUUUCAUCAGCUAAUGUGUGCACACUCACACGUGUACACACCAAGCAGAAGACAGGAUGAGAACUGCCUGUGGGGAACUCUAGUGGAGUCCUGCGCCUGCUCUUUACAAGCCCUGACCAGCCUCUUGCUCUUUAAUCCUUUCAUUUCAGCAAAACCUAGUUGUCCUCAGACUGAGGAAAGGAAGCUCUCUGAGCCACCUUUAGCAGCUGCUUUGAAAGAGCCUACAAAAUCAAACACCCUCAGCUGAUAUCGGUUCUGAAGGGCACAAUUGGGAGCACUAAAGGAUAAGUGGUGCUGUGUAUGAUUAUGUGAUAACGGAACUCCAUGAAAGGAUCAUCAUUAAAAACAUAUUGAGACAUUAAGGAAGCCAUGUGUUGGGUGUAUGGGAAACUCCCCUUUGAAGGUUAAAGAAGGCAGAGAUCCAGGUGUCCACACAUUGCCAAAUUACUGCUCUGCUAUUUGAAAGGAAUGACAAUGACAUCCUGUUUGUGGUCAUGGCCAAUUUAGUAUUACACUACACCUGUGAAACCCUAGGCCAUCAACAUUUCAGCAAGGCUGUGUAAUCAAAGCGAUGAUACUUAUUGCUUAGAAAUAUUAGUGACUUCCAAGAUGCAG